UACGAAGGGGGCUAGCGUUGCUCGGAAUUACUGGGCGUAAAGCGCACGUAGGCGGCUCUUUAAGUCGGGGGUGAAAUCCUGGAGCUCAACUCCAGAACUGCCUUCGAUACUGAAGAGCUCGAGUCCGGGAGAGGUGAGUGGAACUGCGAGUGUAGAGGUGAAAUUCGUAGAUAUUCGCAAGAACACCAGUGGCGAAGGCGGCUCACUGGUCCGGUACUGACGCUGAGGUGCGAAAGCGUGGGGAGCAAACAGG
rnacentral:rRNA from 1 species